CCGCCGCUCAUUGGGGAGUAGCCGCCCCGCAUCAUGCCCGCGCAAUGGCCACGCUCACGGCCGGCGAGCGCAGCGCGUGUGAUUCGCGGGGGCGCCUGUCAACAGACUUGACCGUUGUGGUCAUGGCAGACGCAGCCUCUGGCCUGGCGAGACCGAUGAUCCACUACCGCCGCUCUAGGGCCC
rfam:Burkholderia phymatum STM815 chromosome 1, complete sequence.